GCAAAGCUUUUUCUUCCCUUUCCAUCAAAAAAAAAAAAGAAAAGAAAAGAAAUACCUAGUGAGUUAAUAUAUUGUACCUAAAAUAGUUUGAAUCCUAUGGUCCCAACCUGUUAGAAAAAAAAGCAAUAUGUAUAUUCUAAGUUUUAUGUUGCAAAUUUUUUAUAUGAAAUGAUCCUCUUAAAUCCUCUAAGAAUAAUGUGUUUAUUGCCAAACC
rnacentral:lncRNA from 1 species